rnacentral:rRNA from 1 species
GAGACAGCAGUCGCCACGGUAAUACAGAGGGUGCAAGCGUUAAUCGGAAUUACUGGGCGUAAAGCGCGCGUAGGUGGUUUGUUAAGUUGGAUGUGAAAUCCCCGGGCUCAACCUGGGAACUGCAUCCAAAACUGGCAAGCUAGAGUAUGGUAGAGGGUGGUGGAAUUUCCUGUGUAGCGGUGAAAUGCGUAGAUAUAGGAAGGAACACCAGUGGCGAAGGCGACCACCUGGACUGAUACUGACACUGAGGUGCGAAAGCGUGGGGAGCAAACAGGAUUAGAUACCCCUGUAGUCCCUGUCUCUUAUAC